ACGCUCGACACCUACGGGAGCAGCAGUGGGGAAUAUUGCACAAUGGGGGAAACCCUGAUGCAGCGACGCCGCGUGAGUGAAGAAGUAUUUCGGUAUGUAAAGCUCUAUCAGCAGGGAAGAAAAUGACGGUACCUGAGUAAGAAGCCCCGGCUAACUACGUGCCAGCAGCCGCGGUAAUCUGAGCGGGCGUGGCGAAGGCG
rnacentral:rRNA from 1 species